rnacentral:tRNA from 1 species
UCCCUGGUGGUCUAGUGGUUAGGAUUUGGCACUUUCACCACUGUGGCCCAGGUUCGAUCCCUGGUUUGGGAA